ensembl:lincRNA
GAUUGGUGGCCUGCGAGAAUUCCGCCAGCCUGGCCCUGUUCUCAAAUUCCUAACUGCAAUUUGGUGGCAUCAGGGGCCAAAAUUUAAGUUGAUGCAGAUUCUUAGAUACACGAGGUAUCCUGGAAACCCUGCAAACCCUAGGCAAAUUUGGGAAUGGGACAAGGGCCGGCAUCGGCGGGACGGGGGGUUGUCUACAAAAUGAAUCAUCUCGAUUUGCGGAUUGUCGCGGAAAACCCGAAGAGAGGUCACUACCGCGAGCGAUUUUUUUGUAACCUUAUCAGCCUUUUCAAAGUAAGUCUAAUCAAAGGAAAAUCGGCAUACGUACUCCCUCGGCCCUCUUUUUUUCUUCUCCAAUUAGAGUUAGCCAGAUCUUUGAAGGUUUUAGUAACUAAUUUUUGUUUAUUAGGAGAUCUUAGUACAGGAAGUAGCUUAAUGUCUUCUUCCUUUCCUCACCCUUGUCAUCAGUGCCUCAAAGAAGUCUCUCGGAAGUCUCUCCUAAAACCACUUUUAUAUCUAUCUCUUUUACUUAAGCCCUAAAGCGAUCCCUAGUUACAGCAUAGACAGGAGAAACACCUUCCACCAUUCGAUCCUGUUACUGAGGGAGAGUGGACAUUAGGACGCUUAAAUAAAGGUUCCUUGCCAUGCUCCCAAGUCACCAGGGAAUGUAUGCUUCAAAAAGACGAGUUAGCAUUGUCCAGUGACCUUGACCAAAUAACCAUGUGUUUUCUGGAGUACUGCUUACUAUUUAAGAAGUUUGUUUCUAUGUAAGUUUUUUCAUUAGUAGAUACUAAGUUGUAAACGUAUGUUUAUUUAAGCUAUUCUCAGUUGUUGGAAUGUUUUUAUUACCACACCAAACACUUCAGUGAGUAUCCAUAAAGCUAAAUUACUUAUUUAGGCUAAAUCACGGAGGUAGGACUUUAUGUAUAUUUAGAAUUUUUUAGAGACUAGCGUCUAGAAAUACUGUGUCAGAUGCAAUCAUGCCAUUCCAGGUAGCCAAUCUGGAGGCAAUUUUAUUUCAGUAAAACAAAAGGGAAUGAUAAUCGUGAAACAAAAACAUAGGAAGUUGCAGGUAAAGUAACAUUAAAUACAUAGAAAUGAUUUUGUUCUCUCUCAACCCCCGCUGAACCUAUAGUAAAGAGAUGUAAGAUGUAAGUAAGAGCCAACACGAUGGCUAAAGGCACUUGCUACCAGGCCUGACAACCUAACUGGGAUCUUCUGGAACCACAUGGUAGAAGGAGAACACAGUUGUCUUCAGACCUCUGCAAGCAUGGGCCAUAGUAAAUAUAAUGUAAUGAAAGCAAAGUAAACAUUUUUCCAUAGUGUAAAGAGGAGAGGAAGCAAAGGAAGAAGAAAAUAAAGUAAUGCUUUGGAAGAUGCAAAUCAGAUAAGAACAAUUCACCAAUCCAGACAUGACAGCCAGCUUCAAACCAGAAAUAAAGGAACGGGGAGCCAGCCUAGCUUAUCCUGAGAAACUCUCUAAACAAACAGGAGCAGAGAUUCAACUCAAGCCUUUACCAUUUCCUGCUUGGAUAUACUACAGCCACUGAAAUAUGUGUCUAACACAGGACCUCUCCUGUGUAUUCUGCACACAGUGACCCUCUCCUCAGGACCUCUGCACAGACGGUGACCCUCUCCACCACCACCAAUGACUUUUCUAUAGCACAAAUCUAAUUCCAAUGGUAAAAGUCCUGGGUUGGCAUGCCAUGUUUUUCUCGUUCUUUUUUUUAAAAUUAAAUUUUAGGUAAAUUUACAAUGUAAUGAGUGUUGUUUUAUACCAGUUUAUCAGUGAUUUUUACUUUUGCUCAUCCUGUCACCCUCCUUGAUCCUUUGGUCCUUUCUCUCUUCCUUCUUUCUUCCCACACAUACAAUAUAGGUUUCUUCUAGGGCAAUCCUUGCUUUCCACUUUGUUAGAGACAAGAUGAUAUCUCUUUAAAACAAAGACCCUGCGAUCUCGUUUGGCAAGCACACUCCGACACAUCUUGACUGAUAGUGCUUGAAUGUGAAAUGUCUCCGGUGGGCUAUAUUUGAACAUUUGAUCCCCAGAUGUAUGGCUGUUUGGAGUCUGGGGAAUCUUCAGGAGGUGAGGCCCAGAUGAAGGUGGUAGGUGCCUGGGGGAGAGCCUUAGGGGGUUGUCACCUGACCCUGCUUCCACUGCAUCCUGAUCUGCUAUGAUUGUGAGGAGCCUGGGCUCAGGGGCCACACCUUCCUUGCUAUGACACACUUUAGUCUGAAAUCCCAAGUCAAAGAAACUUUGCCUCCCUUACACUGUUGGCAGUUGGUCUGUCCAGCAGCUGAGAAAAGGGGUUAAUACACCCACUUAUGUCUAAUUAAGAAAAAAAAAAUGUGGAGGCUGGAGAGGUAGCUCAACAGCUGAAAGUGGUCCUGCUAUUCCAGAAGACCAGCAUUCAGUUCCCAGCUCCCAAUCCAGUGGCCCAGGACUACCUGUAACUCUGGCUCCAGCAUCUGCUUCUGGUUUCUGAGGGCACAAGCCCUCACGAGUACAUUCACAUAUCCCCAGAACGACAGACAGACAGACCGAGAUAGAUAGAUAGAUAGAUAGAUAGAUAGAUAGAUAGAUAGAUAGAUAGAUUAGAGAUAUAAAAUCUUAAAAUAAAAAUAAAUCUUUAAAAAAAA